GCCGGAGGAAGGUGGGGAGUGACGUCAAGUCAUCAUGGCCCUUAUGUCCAGGGCGACACACGUGCUACAAUGGCCGGCACAGCGGGAAGCGGAGGGGCGACCCUGAGCGGAUCCCUUGAAAGCCGGUCCCAGUUCGGAUUGCAGUCUGCAACUCGACUGCAUGAAGUUGGAAUCGCUAGUAAUCGCGGAUCAGCCAAGCCGCGGUGAAUACGUUCCCGGGCCUU
rnacentral:rRNA from 1 species